CACGUAGGGCGCAAGCGUUGUCCGGAAUUAUUGGGCGUAAAGCGCGCGCAGGUGGUGCGGUAAGUCCUGUGUGAAAUCUCCCGGCUCAACUGGGAGGGUGCGGAGGAGACUGCCGGACUGGAGGCACUCAGAGGCCGGUGGAAUUCCCGGUGUAGUGGUGAAAUGCGUAGAGAUCGGGAGGAACACCAGUGGCGAAGGCGGCCGGCUGGGGGUGACCGUGACGCUGAGGCGCGAGAGCGUGGGGAGCGAACCGG
rnacentral:rRNA from 1 species